rnacentral:ncRNA from 1 species
CGAGACACUGUAAAAAGGAAAGUAAAAUUUACACUGCAAUCACAGAGAGCCUUGUUUCGCUGAGAAAAGGCAUUGAAAGCAAAUUUGAAAAUGGCCUUGGAGUGUUGAUGCCAAUAUGAGGUAUCACCGGGUUCGCCCGUUAUAGCGAUACAGUAUUAACAUUUUGUUAUUAUGCGUACUGGAAAAUAUUAACUAUACUCUUCCUUCACUGUAUAGAUCUAAAUCGCGCAUAAUGCAAUUUAGCGUACUGUGAGAGGUUACUUUAGCGAUAAAUUAACAAAUUAAGGUGGUACCACGAACUUAGCUUUCGUCCUUUUU